GGAUAGCGUUGGAAAUGUAAAUGAGGAAAAAACCUAAUAAAAAUAUUUUUAAAAAAAGAAUACAGUAUCUUCCCCUCCUCCUCCUCAUAGAAGGGAAUGAGAAUAAGCCUGGAGCUCCUUGCAAGCAGGCAGAGUUGCUCUGAUGAAGCUGGCAGCUGCGUUUGCUCAGGGGUCUGAGCCCUACAACAAUCUCCAAGUGUUUGACCUACAUGUCUAUCUGUGCACCGCCCGCACUGAGUGCCGACACCGACAGAAGCCAGCAGAGGAUGUCCGUUACCCUGGACUGGAGUUACAGUUGUGAGCUGCCAUGUAGGUGCUAGAAAUGGAACCCUAAGUCCUCUGCAAGAGCAGUCACUGCUUUCUACUGAGCCAAUUCUCCAGCUCCCUAUUCAUCAAACGUUUACCAAGCACCUAGUCCUUAUGUAUUGGACACAGAGUCAGUUUUGGGGGAGAGUGCUGUGACCUCUUCCCUUGGGGAGCUCCAACCUAUAAGGAAAUACUAUUAUUGUAUUUCCCUAUUAUUUUAUUGUUUUUUAAAAUGUGCAUGUAUCUGUAUAUUCCACAUAUGUGCGGGUGCAGGUGUGUAUGUUUCUGUGUGUACAUGUCACAUGUGUGCAGGUGCCCGUGAAGUUCAGAACAGGGCAUUAGAUCUCUAGAGCUGAAUACGGCAGCUGUGAGCCACCCGAUGUGGGUGCGAGGAACAGAGCUCUGAUGUAAUGCAAGAACCAUAAGCGCUUCCCGCUGAUCACUAUCUCCAGCUUUGUUGUGUUUAUUGUACAGAAAAGAGGUGCAGUGUUGAAAGGUCUUUGAAAGCUAUGGAGUGCUGUGAAAUA
rnacentral:lncRNA from 1 species